UACGUAGGGUCCGAGCGUUGUCCGGAAUUACUGGGCGUAAAGAGCUCGUAGGUGGUUUUGUCGCGUUGUUCGUGAAAACUCACAGCUUAACUGUGGGCGUGCGGGCGAUACGGGCAGACUUGAGUACUGCAGGGGAGACUGGAAUUCCUGGUGUAGCGGUGGAAUGCGCAGAUAUCAGGAGGAACACCGGUGGCGAAGGCGGGUCUCUGGGCAGUAACUGACGCUGAGGAGCGAAAAGCGUGGGGGAGCGAACAGG
rnacentral:rRNA from 1 species